rnacentral:rRNA from 1 species
CAGUUCGGAUUGGAGUCUGCAACUCGACUCCAUGAAGCUGGAUUCGCUAGUAAUCGCGCAUCAGCCACGGCGCGGUGAAUACGUUCCCGGGCCUUGUACACACCGCCCAUCAAGCCAUGGAAGCCGGGGGUGCCUGAAGUGCGCUGCCGCAAGGAGCGCCCUAGGGUAAAACCGGUGACUGGGGCUAAGUCGUAACAAGGUAGC